rnacentral:rRNA from 1 species
GAACUUAAGCAUAUCAGUAAGCGGAGGAAAAGAAACUAACAAGGAUUCCCUUAGUAACGGCGAGUGAAGCGGGAAAAGCUCAAAUUUUAAAUCUGGCACCCUCGGUGUCCGAAUUGUAUUUGAUAGAGUCUUCUUGUGAGAAGCAUCAUGGCUCAAGUCCUUUGGAAGGAGGCAUCAUAGAGGGUGACAAUCCCGUCUAGGUCAUGCAUGUGGAUCAGUACCAAGGAGGCUCGAAGAGUCGGGUUGUUUGGGAAUGCAGCCCUAAAUGGGAGGUACAUUUCUCCUAAAGCUAAAUACAGGCAAGAGACCGAUAGCGAACAAGUACCGUGAGGGAAAGAUGAAAAGGACUUUGAAAAGAGAGUUAAACAGUACGUGAAAUUGUUAAAAGGGAAACGAUUGAGAUCAGUGAUGUUUCGGUCGUUUCAGGAGACGCCCUAACCCGGUGUCUCUGUAUUACAGCCGGAACGGGUUGACUCUCAUUUUCGUGUCUGGUUAAGGCUUGAGGAAAGGUGGCCUCGCUCUCGGGCGACGGCUUUAUAGUCCUCUUGAGAUACAUACGCGAAGAUGAGCGAAAGGCACGCCCUUUCUCAAGGACCAAAAGUCCAAGUCGACAAAAUGAUCUUAACCGACCCGUCUUGAAACACGGACCAAGGAGUCUAACAACUAUGCGAGUAUUUGAGUGGCAAACUCGAAUGCGCAAAGAAAUUGAAUGGCUGGGAGUGAGGACCGAAUACGUCUUUAUGCACCAGCAGCCGGUUCUCGUCUUAGACUUGGAUUGAGCUAGAGCAUAUCUGUUGGGACCCGAAA